GACGAACGCUGGCGGCGUGCUUAACACAUGCAAGUCGAACGGAAAGGCCCUGCUCUUGUGGGGUGCUCGAGUGGCGAACGGGUGAGUAACACGUGAGUAACCUGCCCUUGACUUUGGGAUAACUUCAGGAAACUGGGGCUAAUACCGGAUAGGAGCUCCUGCUGCAUGGUGGGGGUUGGAAAGUUUCGGCGGUUGGGGAUGGACUCGCGGCUUAUCAGCUUGUUGGUGGGGUAGUGGCUUACCAAGGCUUUGACGGGUAGCCGGCCUGAGAGGGUGACCGGCCACAUUGGGACUGAGAUACGGCGCAGACUCCUACGGGAGGCAGCAGUGGGGAAUAUUGCACAAUGGGCGGAAGCCUGAUGCAGCAACGCCGCGUGCGGGAUGACGGCCUUCGGGGUGUAAACCGCUUUCGCCUGUGACGAAGCGUGAGUGACGGUAAUGAGUAAAGAAGCACCGGCUAACUACGUG
rnacentral:rRNA from 1 species